rnacentral:rRNA from 1 species
AACGAACGCUGGCGGCAUGCCUAACACAUGCAAGUCGAACGAGACCUUUGGGCCUAGUGGCGCACGGGUGCGUAACGCGUGGGAAUCUGCCCUUGGGUUCGGAAUAACAGUGAGAAAUUGCUGCUAAUACCGGAUGAUGUCUUCGGACCAAAGAUUUAUCGCCCAGGGAUGAGCCCGCGUAGGAUUAGCUAGUUGGUGGGGUAAUGGCCUACCAAGGCGACGAUCCUUAGCUGGUCUGAGAGGAUGAUCAGCCACACUGGGACUGAGACACGGCCCAGACUCCUACGGGAGGCAGCAGUGGGGAAUAUUGGACAAUGGGCGCAAGCCUGAUCCAGCAAUGCCGCGUGAGUGAUGAAGGCCUUAGGGUUGUAAAGCUCUUUUACCAGGGAUGAUAAUGACAGUACCUGGAGAAUAAGCUCCGGCUAACUCCGUG